GAUGAACGCUAGCGGCAGGCUUAACACAUGCAAGUCGAGGGGCAGCGCAGUGUAGCAAUACAUGGGCGGCGACCGGCGCACGGGUGCGUAACGCGUAUCCAACCUUCCCGUUACUCAGGGAUAGCCUUCCGAAAGGGAGAUUAAUACCUGAUGGUGUUUGAAUUCCGCAUGUUAUUCAAACUAAAGAUUUAUCGGUAACGGAUGGGGAUGCGUGACAUUAGAUAGUAGGCGGGGUAACGGCCCACCUAGUCUACGAUGUCUAGGGGUUCUGAGAGGAAGGUCCCCCACACUGGAACUGAGACACGGUCCAGACUCCUACGGGAGGCAGCAGUGGGGAAUAUUGGGCAAUGGGGGCAACCCUGACCCAGCAACGCCGCGUGAAGGAAGAAGGCUUUCGGGUUGUAAACUUCUUUUACCAGGGACGAAGACGUGACGGUACCUGGAGAAAAAGCCACGGCUAACUACGUG
rnacentral:rRNA from 1 species